rnacentral:rRNA from 1 species
AUGGCUGCCAUGUCGUCUCCGAUCAUCGGUCUCCUCCUCCUCCUGCUCCCAAUCGCGCCGUCCUCCGCCAUCAAGUUCCCGCUCGGAGGCAAUGUCUACCCUGUUAGCCACUUCUAUGCUACGUUGAGCAUCGGUGAACCUGCGAAGCCCUACUUCCUGGACGUCGACACUGGCAGCAACCUCACCUGGCUGGAGUGCCACCACCCGGUCCACGGCUGCAAGGGCUGCCACCCGAGGCCACCACACCCAUAUUACAAGCCAGCAGCUGACAAGUUGAAGGUGCAAUGUGGUGGCCCGCUAUGUGCUGCGAUGCGCAGAGACGUGCCUGGGAUCCCUGACUGCUCCAGGAAAGAUCCACAUCGAUGCCACUACGAGAUUCAGUAUGUCACCGGGAAGUCAGAAGGUGACCUUGCCACUGACAUCAUUUCUGUCACUGGGAAAGACAAGAAAAACAUCGCUUUCGGAUGUGGAUACAAUCAGGAGGAAGCAGCAGACGCACCACCCUCGUCGGUAGAUGGCAUCCUUGGACUCGGGAGGGGAAAGGCAGGCUUUGCCGCGCAACUCAAGGGGCUAAAGAUGAUAACAGAGAACGUCAUUGUACAUUGCCUCAGCAGCAAAGGAAAGGGUGUCCUCUACGUCGGGGACUUCAAUCCGCCUUCCCGCGGCGUAACCUGGGCACCCAUGAGAGAAUCCUUGUUUUACUACUCACCUGGCCUAGCAGAGCUGUUCAUUGACAAACAGCCGAUAAGAGGGAAUCCAACAUUUGAGGCUGUAUUUGACAGUGGUACCACCUACACCUUGGUGCCUGCCCAGAUAUACAAUGAACUUGUUUCAAAGGUCAGAGGCACUCUCAGUGAAUCAUCACUUGUAGAGGUGAAGGGUCGCGCUCUGCCUCUAUGCUGGAAAGGGAAAAAGCCAUUCAGAUCUGUCAAUGAUGUGAAGAACCAAUUCAAGGCACUGUCACUAAAAAUUACCCACGCCCACGGCACCAGCUACCUGGACAUCCCUCCUCAAAACUACCUCAUCGUGAAGGAAGACGAGAAAACGUGCCUGGCUAUCCUCGACGCCUCGUCGGAUCCUGUUAUGAAGGAACUGAACUUUAUCUUGAUCGGAGCUGUUACGAUGCAGGAUCUGUUUGUGAUACAGUGCACAGUGUGA